rnacentral:misc_RNA from 1 species
GCAUGACCAAAAGUCACCCCACAACACAAAGCCCAAAAUGACCAGACCCAUUCAACCCGAAUUUUGACCCGAAAAUGAAAUCAAUAACUUUUUUGGAUAAAAAUUGAUAGUGUGGCCUGAAAUGACCCACAACCAGCAAAUCGACCUGAAUCUAAUUCAAAAAUUCCUUUUGUAUGGUGAUCCGAUUAGAAACCUUAAUGACCAAAACCUGCUUGACCCAACCUGUUUGCCACUUCUAUAUAUAUAUAUAGGGUUGCAUGUUCUU